UACAGAGGUCUCAAGCGUUGUUCGGAUUCAUUGGGCGUAAAGGGUGCGUAGGCGGCGCGGUAAGUCGGGUGUGAAAUCUCGGGGCUUAACUCCGAAACUGCAUUCGAUACUGCCGUGCUUGAGGACUGGAGAGGAGACUGGAAUUCCUGGUGUAGCGGUGAAAUGCGCAGAUAUCAGGAGGAACACCGGUGGCGAAGGCGGGUCUCUGGGCCGAUGACUGACGCUGAGGAGCGAAAGCGUGGGGAGCGAACAGG
rnacentral:rRNA from 1 species